rnacentral:rRNA from 1 species
GAUGAACGCUGGCGGCGUGCCUAAUACAUGCAAGUCGAGCGAACGGACGAGAACCUUGCUUCUCUGAUGUUAGCGGAGGACGGGUGAGUAACACGUGGAUAACCUACCUAUAAUACUGGGAUAACUUCGGGAAACCGGCUCAAACACGGGAUAAUAUUUUGAUCCGCAUGGUUCAAAAGUGAAAGACGGUCUUGCUGUCACUUAUAGAUGGAUCCGCGCUGUAUUAGCUAGUUGGUAAGGUAAGGGCUUACCAAGGCAACGAUGCAUAGCCGACCUGAGAGGGUGAUCGGCGACACUGGAACUGAGAGACGGUCCAGACUCCUACGGGCGGCAGCAGUACGGACUCUUCCGCAAUGGGCGAAAGCCUGCCGGAGCAACGCCGCGUGAGUGAUGAAAGUCUGCGUAUCGUAAAACUCUGUUAUUAGUGAAGAACACAUGUGUAAGGAACGGUGCACAUCUUGACGGUACCUGAUCAGAAAGCCACGGCUAACUACGUG